rnacentral:tRNA from 1 species
CCGCCAUUAGCUCAGCAGGAAGAGCGGUUAUCCAACCUGAGAUGACGGUGCGGGGUUCAAGUCCCCGAUGGCGGUCCA